CAGUAGCCACGGUAAUACGAAGGGGGCUAGCGUUGCUCGGAUUUACUGGGCGUAAAGGGCGCGUAGGCGGACAGUUAAGUCGGGGGUGAAAGCCCGGGGCUCAACCUCGGAAUUGCCUUCGAAACUGGCUGUCUUGAGUACGGGAGAGGUGAGUGGAACUCCGAGUGUAGAGGUGAAAUUCGUAGAUAUUAGGAAGAACACCAGUGGCGAAGGCGACUCACUGGCCCGUUACUGACGCUGAGGCGCGAAAGCGUGGGGAGCAAACAGGAUUAGAUACCCGAGUAGUCCCUGUCUCUUAUAC
rnacentral:rRNA from 1 species